GAGUUUGAUCAUGGCUCAGGACGAACGCUGGCGGCGUGCCUAAUACAUGCAAGUCGAGCGGAUCUUCAUUAGCUUGCUUUUGAAGAUCAGCGGCGGACGGGUGAGUAACACGUGGGCAACCUGCCUGUAAGACUGGGAUAACUUCGGGAAACCGGAGCUAAUACCGGAUGAUCCUUUUCCUCUCAUGAGGAAAAGCUGAAAGACGGUUUCGGCUGUCACUUACAGAUGGGCCCGCGGCGCAUUAGCUAGUUGGUGAGGUAACGGCUCACCAAGGCGACGAUGCGUAGCCGACCUGAGAGGGUGAUCGGCCACACUGGGACUGAGACACGGCCCAGACUCCUACGGGAGGCAGCAGUAGGGAAUCUUCCGCAAUGGACGAAAGUCUGACGAGCAACGCCGCGUGAGCGAUGAAGGCCUCGGUCGUAAGACUCUGUGUCAGGAGAACAAGUA
rnacentral:rRNA from 1 species